rnacentral:tRNA from 1 species
AUUUAAAUAGCUUAAGUUUAAAGCGUUACAUUGAAAAUGUAAAUAUAAUUUUUAUUUUUAAAUA